rnacentral:lncRNA from 1 species
GAUUCAGCGGACCCUGGAGUGGCUUCGACUCGGCCUCCUAAAACAGGCCCUUCGCCAGCGAAGACAGGGUUAAGAAGGCGGGCCUGGAGGGCCACGUGCCGGGGCGGACGGCUAUUGGUUCUGCCGGAGUUGUUUGUCGCAAGGCCAUUGGCGCAGUCGGGGCGUCGCGGUGGUCUGAUUGGCUGGGCGUCGGAGGGGUCCCAGGGCCGGGACGGGGAGGAGGCUGCCGGACCAAGUAGCCCGGCCGGAGUGGGCCGAGCGGGGUUCGUGCGCUACCCGCGCGGGGACGGCAGCCGGAGCCGCGGGCGCCGACGCCAUGCGCUAGAGUUAGGCGCUGCUGAAGAACGCGUCCCUGGCAGGGGCGCCCAAGUACAUCGAGCACUUCAGCAAGUUCUCCCCUGUCCCCCCUGUCUAUGAAGCAGUUUCUGGACUUUGGUACGUGCAGAGUCUGCUGGACAUCAUGGAGUUCCUGGACAAGGACCCUGAGGACCACCGCACCCUGAGUCACCCUCAUUUUUGCAAGGCAGCACAAACCCGGCCCACCCCAAGCACAU